rnacentral:misc_RNA from 1 species
GAUGAAGAACGCAGCGAAAUGCGAUAAGUAAUGUGAAUUGCAGAAUUCAGUGAAUCAUCGAAUCUUUGAACGCUCAUUGCGCCCGCCAGUAUUCUGGCGGGCAUGCCUGUUCGAGCGUCAUUACAACCCUCAGGCCCCCGGGCCUGGCGUUGGGGAUCGGCGGAGCCCCCCGUGGGCACACGCCGUCCCCCAAAUACAGUGGCGGUCCCGCCGCAGCUUCCAUCGCGUAGUAGCUAACACCUCGCGACUGGAGAGCGGCGCGGCCACGCCGUAAAACACCCAACUCUUCUGAAGUUGACCUCGAAUCAGGUAGGAAUACCCGCUGAACUUAAGCAUAUCAAUAAGCGGAGGA